rfam:Ornithorhynchus anatinus chromosome 1, whole genome shotgun sequence.
CCCCUCUCAGGGUGGCACCUGGAGAGUUUCCAAUACUCUACCAGUCUCUGCUACAGGAGGGAGAGUCAAGCACAGGCCUACCCAUUCCGUUCCUAGCUUGGGCAGUGGCUAGCAAGUGGAAGGCAAUAUGCUACAAAU